rnacentral:rRNA from 1 species
GAUGAACGCUAGCGGCAGGCUUAAUACAUGCAAGUCGAGGGGCAGCAUAAGUAGCAAUACUUGAUGGCGACCGGCAAACGGGUGCGGAACACGUACGCAACCUUCCUUUAAGUGGAGAAUAGCCCGGGGAAACCCGGAUUAAUACUCCGUAACAUUUUGAAGUGGCAUCACUUUAUAAUUAUAGAUUUAUCGCUUAAAGAUGGGCGUGCGCCUGAUUAGGCAGUUGGCGGGGUAACGGCCCACCAAACCUACGAUCAUUAGGGGUUCUGAGAGGAAGGUCCCCCACACUGGAACUGAGACACGGUCCAGACUCCUACGGGAGGCAGCAGUGAGGAAUAUUGGUCAAUGGGCGAGAGCCUGAACCAGCCAAGUAGCGUGAAGGAAGACUGCCCUAUGGGUUGUAAACUUCUUUUGUUCGGGAAUAAAGUGCGGCACGCGUGCCGUUUUGUAUGUACCGUUCGAAUAAGCAUCGGCUAAUUCCGUG